AAGGUUGAUCACUAUUACUUAGUAUACCUAGUCGUUGUACAUAUCAACCUAUUUUUAAAAUGCAUUUCACAUACUUCGUGUAUAUUUUUUGCCUUGUUCCAAAUAUUUCUCCGAAACAAAAAAUAUGCAAUUUCGGUGAAAUUAUACACUUAUGGAAUGUUAAUUCAAACUUGAGGAAAAAAAUUGCAGAUUUACAUGAAGAAAUGACAGAAUUGAAAACUCAUAAAAACUUUUCGGAAACUUUAAUCAUGCAGUACAAAACAAAAAUUAAUGGGCUUGAGGCGGAGAUUCGUAGCCUUAAAAACAUAACUACAGGUAUAGAUGCGGUGCUAGUCGUCCGUCAUGAUUUGGAAAGAAUUGACAAAUUAAUAGAUAUGAGUUUAAACUACGCUGACAAAGAAUCAUUAAUAGAAGAACUGAAGAAGUUUCAAGCUCGUAAGCACUUUCUCACAGAAAAUGAAAUUAAAAUGAAUGAAUUAACUGGAAUCGGCUUACCACAUUAUUCCGGUAUACGCCACGUAAGAUGGCUACACUAUCUAACUUUCAGUGAUCAACGUAUGGCUUACAAAAUCAGAACUCUGUUAAACAACAACAAAGUGUCCAUACCGAAAUUUUGCAAAUUAGUAGAUGACAUUUUUUCAAAAGUUAGUGGCAAGAUUCACGAUUACUUGGUUACUAUUUCAACUGAUACAGUUUUACAAGGACUGCGUUACUUUGGAAUUCAGGAGCAUGAAAUCAUUCAAGGUGUUGAAGUGUUAAGGUCAAGGGCGAUAAGAAACGUUACCAUGUUGUUUGAGGGAACUUUAACCACCAUAGACAUUUAAAUUUCUGUAGGUAAGCUCAUUGAUAACAUAUGUAGUAGGUACUUCAGUACUAUACAUUGACAUAAUCAAAGGGUAUGCUUUGAAUCAUUUCAAGACCAGUUUUUUUUUACUGAUUUUUCUAUCGAAAAGUCGGUAAAAUUAUUGUAUGUAAUCAGAUAUCAAAUCAAAACAGGAUUUUCCCUGGAUAUGAUUUAAUCUGACCAAGAUUUGAUCAGAUGUCGCCAGAUGAAAGUUUCGAUCAAAUUACUCGUACGUACCUAGGUACUUGUAAAUAGAUCUUUCGAUUCUAUUCAGAAUUUUGAUUAGAUUUGGUCUGUUCAGAUCAGACCUGAUCAGAUCCACUCUUUGUCUACGAAGAAUAAAGAGAAAAUCGAAUUUUGGAAAGAACGUGCCCCUAUCGUCGUGAAAAUAGAAUUUCAGCUCAGUUGCUCCAGUUAAUUUUUGACGAUUUUUCUGUUUCUUAACGAUCGCAAUCAAUAAAAAGCUUCAUUUUUCCUAACUGAUCA